AUGCAAAUCAAUGUGCCUGAGCUCUCUGUAGAACUUGUGCCUGAACACUCUAUUCUUUCUCCAGAUUACCUAGUGUCCCGAGAGAGGCUCCAGCGAUUUAGAAAAAAGAGGCCAGCACAGGUGUGAGUAGCCCCACUCUAACAUGAGGCCUUUGCUGCUUACUUAACCAAGGAAACCCUGAACCUCUUGUCUAUGCAAGAUGGGAGAACAGCCAACAUCUCAGCAGGUCAGCGAUGCCCCCAUCUGUAUGUUCCAGGGGCUCAUUUCCAAUUCUUCCCCUGGGGUUCCAGAAAUAUCUCUAACAUUAGAAUAAUGUUGACUUCCUUCGGAGGGGAUCUGCCUGCACUUCUCGCUGCUAAUCUGGACCUACCUAACCCUAAAGCACAUUGGAGAGCAAUGAGGAAACCACAUGGGAAGGGACAGGCAAACACUGGCAAGUCACUGUCCCAGACCAUCCUGUGUAGAACCGAUGGGUAUUUGAAAAGUAUCCUCAAGACAUGUGAAGGGUCUGAGAAUUGUCAUCAUUGGGGCUGGAAAUACUCUGGUGAGGAUAUUCCCAACAUAGAUGUGGUUUUUUUUCUUUUGGAGUCACCAAAAAAGGAAGACUAUUCUGCAAUCACAAGUAGAGUUACCCUUCAUUCACUCACUGAACAUUUCUUAGGUGUCUUCUGUAUACUGGGCAUCAUACUGAGGAUACAGAAUCAUGGCAAAGACUUAUAAAUAUACUUAGCUCCUGCUUUCACAGAGUUGUAGGGUGUGCAGGCUUCACAGCUGGUUAUUUUACAACAAAUUCCUUCAUGAUAAACGAGACAUCAGAGAUGGCAAACAGGUCAACCUGGUGGUUGGGGCCAACCCAUUACCAUCAUAGAGACUAGAAGACGUGAUUGAAUGUGAAUAUGGUGGCAAAGGAAGAGUUCUGGUUCAUAAAUUAUCAGGAAGCACAGUGUUACAUCGACAGUGACAGAGAAUGCAACCCCAACUCCCCCAUAUAGGGUAGUGAGGAAGAUGGGAAGAUUUAGGGAACAUAUGGAAUGUCUCUUGUCCCCCCAAAAUGUGUUUUGGACAUGCAUAUUAUUGUUUGUCCUACCAAAAAGUAGAGAAUCUAUUUUUCUAAAUAGGUAACAGUAUUCUAAUAGAAAUUAUCAUUAAAAAGUCAACCAGUAUUUACUCCCAAUCCUUCUGUCAUAGAGUUACAGUAAAAGAACACAAAUGGAAAGUAGCAGGAUACAGAACUGAAUGAAUAAGAUGAUGAUUACAACAAAACAAAUAAUCAACCUAUUCCUUGGAAUGGAAGGGUCUAGUGAGGAAAUGUCCAAAGAAAACAUCAAAAAAGUUUUAAACAACAACAACAACACUUAUUUGGUCUUCUUCAGGUUCCCUUUUGCUAAUACUUUGCUAUUAAAAUUUUGAAGAACUACUUUGAAACACACUCUUCAUGGAAAGUCAUGGGUUCUCAGCCAAAGGAAACCAAAGUCAACCAUCUGAACUUGCCUGUAGUCCAGAGAGAACCCUGGCCAUGGAGGGACUUCGGGGAAACCAGUGACAGAGAAGUGGUGAGACCUCGUGGAAGGGUGUUUGCCAGCCUGAGGCUCCACCCUGAGGUACAGGGAGCGAAGAGGAGGUGCAGUUGGAAAUGGGACUACAGUGUAACUGGAGAGCAGUGCGGAGGCAGGCGUGAGUAUACAGACAGCCUCUGAAGGGCCAGAACCAAUGAGGCCAGGACCUGACUGGGUGACCAUGAGAGAGUCACUUUAUUGGGCUUCACGAACCUUGCCUAUAGAAGGAAAGGCAAGACCGGACAAUCUCUAAGCAACUUUCUAACUCUAAACAUAUGGGAAUCUGAAUUGUAUGAUUCAUUUCAACAUUUAGCCAUUGAAGACCCUGGCUGUACCUGAAGCACUGUAGGUCAACAACCACAAACAUCCUCCUUGAUUUAGCUCAUGUCAAUUAAAAACAAUUGAAUACCUGUUA